rnacentral:lncRNA from 1 species
NNNNNNNNNNNNNNNNNNNNNNNNNNNNNNNNNNNNNNNNNNNNNNNNNNNNNNNCACUUCCUUACCCCCUUCCUCAGUUGCCUCCCACAUCCCAUUCCAGAGACCGGCACUCCUGGGCUUGCAGCCAGUCCCUCACACUCAGCAGAUGCGGGUUUGGAGGAGGGAGUUUGGCCAGGGACGGGAUUUAACAAAUUCCUUGGGGACCUUGAUUCCCAGGGAAGAAUGGCAGUGACCCAGCACGGAUUGGGGGACCCAGUCAGGCAGCCCAGAAAAAGGGAGAUUAUACAAACAGAUGUAAAGACCCAGUAACAACAUGUGUGAAUCUGUCUACGAGGCUGGGACAGGAGAUGAGGUGCGAAGAAUCCAGUUUCAACCAAGUGGUGUAACCAAAAAAGUUGCCGUCUCAAUAUUGGUUUAUGUUUAUUUUCCACUGACCCUAUGGGUGAAGAUACCCUUGACCAUUACUCCACCUGAAUAUGUUCCAGUUCAUCCGACGUUACAUCACCAGGUUAAGAGAUAUGGAGAUCUCCACAAGGAUUUGGAGAAGAGUCCCAAUAAUUAUUAAAAUUCUGGACUAGAUCUAUUAGGAAAGGUAAAGAAGCCUAAAGUCUUACUAGGAAAAAGGAGUUGUAAUGGUUUACUAAAGCUUUUCAAAUAUUGAUGUCAAGUAGAUGUUACACAUUGCUGGAGAACAAGAUAAAGUAGAUUUAUGAUGCAACCUAGAGCUUUAAGUGAGAGUUCAUUAAGACACUGUUUUGGUAAUUAAACUUUAAGGUUUAUUGAGGCAGCCCUUUGGAGAGUUUUUUAUUUUUAUUUUAUUUAUUUAUUUUUUAAGAUUUUAUUUAUUUAUUUGACAGAGAUCACAAGUGGGGAGAGAGGGUGGGGGGGGCACUCAGGCUCCCUGCUCAGCAGAGAGCCCUAUUCGGGGCUCUAUCCCAGGACCCUGAGAUCAUGAUCUGAGCUGAAGGCAGAGGCUUAACCCACUGAGCCACCCAGGUGCCCCUGGAGAGUUUUUUAAAAGUUGGAUUUAAAUGUGUCAUUUCGAGAAAAGAAACUAAUGUUUCUGGUCAUCAAGGAGUCCCACACUUUUUCAAUCACUUUUGCAUAUAUUAACUCACUUAAUCCUUAUAAUGACCCCAUGAGGUAGGUAUUACUAUCCCCAAUCUAUACAUGU